CUACGGGUUGCUGCAGUGGGGAAUAUUGGACAAUGGGGGAAACCCUGAUCCAGCAAUGCCGCGUGUGUGAAGAAGGCCUGCGGGUUGUAAAGCACUUUCGGUUGGGAGGACUGCUUCUAGCACUAAUAUUGUUGGAAGUUGACGUUACCUUCAGAAGAAGCACCGGCUAACUCCGUGCCAGCAGCCGCGGUAAUACGGGGGGUGCAAGCGUUAAUCGGAAUUACUGGGCGUAAAGCGCGCGUAGGCGGCUAGAUCAGUCGGGUGUGAAAGCCCCGGGCUUAACCUGGGAACUGCAUCCGAUACUGUCGAGCUUGAGUACAGGAGAGGAGAGUGGAAUUCCACAUGUAGCGGUGAAAUGCGUAGAUAUGUGGAGGAACACCAAUGGCGAAGGCAGCUCUCUGGCCUGAUACUGACGCUGAGGUGCGAAAGCGUGGGGAGCAAACAGGAUUAGAUACCCUUGUAGUC
rnacentral:rRNA from 1 species